rnacentral:rRNA from 1 species
UCGCUCAACGGAUAAAAGGUACUCCGGGGAUAACAGGCUUAUCUCCCCCAAGAGUCCAUAAAGCGGUACGCGAGCUGGGUUUAGAACGUCGUGAGACAGUUCGGUCCCUAUCCUCUGUGGGCGCAGGAGAAUUGCGGGAAUUUGUCCCUAGUACGAGAGGACCGGGAUGAGUGAACCUCUGGUGUGUCAGUUGUUCCGCCAGGAGCAUUGCUGAUUAGCCAAGUUUGUAAGGGAUAAGUGCUGAAGGCAUAUAAGCACGAAGCCCCUCCCAAGACUAGUUCUCCCAUCCAUUUGGAGUAAGACCCCAUGUAGAUUACAUGGUUGAUAGGUCAGAAGUGUAAGCGCAGCAAUGUGUUUAGCUGACUGAUACUAAUAGGUCGAGGACUUAUUUUU